AUUGAAGCUAAGAUUUCACUAGCUAUGCAUAAAGUGUAUGUAAAAAUAUGUUAUGCCAAUAUCUGGGGAUUUCUCUGUCUCUGGGAGGCAGGGCUGGCCACCAAGCCCUUCUCCAUCAGCUCCCUGAGAGGCAGUGUGGUCUGCCCUGCACUGGGCACAUGGCAGAGCCUGGAGUGUCACAGCUUGGUGCAGUGAAAGGCUGUUGGUACACAGAGCUUUUUCCUUGCCUCUGCAGCUACUGCCCCACUAUUCCUGAGUCACCUGAUACAAACCCAUGUUCUCUUUUCAGGGGGCCACCUGAAAAACAGGAUCUGACAAAAACAAGUUACAAAAGGAUAACUUGAUGUUACUGGCUUGCAAGAAGAACAGAAAUGGAUCAAAAAGAAGUUGAGUUUGCAGAAAUCUCCCACUGGCAGGUUAGACGUGAGUCCUGACAGUUUUCAUCCCAUCCAGUCCUGAAAUGGGCUGGAAUGAGGAAAAGCUUUAGAGAAUUUUGAGUUUUUUCAUGUUUCAGGAGGAUAGUAAUGUUUAUUUCAGAAUUAUGUAUCUAAGUCUUCCUUACAGUCAUAAAGGAAAGGAACAAAAUUUUAUUCUUCAGCCUGAAAGGGAAAUUUGAGGAAGCAGAUAAAGCUGGGAUGUAAAACACAUUUAGUGGAAGAAGAAAGAAAACCCUAAGUUUGAUUGGAAAAUGCUUUUACACUUUCAGAAAACCAAUCAAAUUAUUGAACAAAAAUAUCAUGUUAUCUGUACUUUUCCAUAGUUCUUAUGGCUGCCUCUAAGAAAGAGGAAGAAGAAACAACCUUACGUAACUAAGAUGCAUCUGGAAAGCAAGAACCAAAAGCCUGCCUGUUUUAGUUUUCUUGUGAGGCUUUAGCAUCGUUUGGGGCAGUUUAUAACUGAAUGUGCUAGAGCACAGACACAGCUGUGUGCUCAAUGACCAACCAUCACCAGCUGUCUGUCUCCUGGGGCCCACACUUUGUAACAGGAGGAUCUUCCAGGGCCAGAGAGCAGCCAGGAUGAGUGCAGGUUGGCACUGCACGUGGGGCACAGGAGAGUGAAGUCCUGUCCUUUCUGCACACUGCAGUGACUUAGGCACCACGUUCCUGGGUGUGUUUUCAUCAACCAAAAUGACAGUCUGCAAAAGUGCCCCGGGGACAUGGGAAUCCUUCUGCAUGGGUCACACAUGCAAAGAGCCUUCUCAAGGCUUCCUCUUAUAAAGAGGAUUCUGUUAGAGAGGACUCUGUUUUAUCUUAGAUCUGUAAUAUAAGUUGUAACAGGUUACAGAAAUACAUACACACUCGUGCACAUUUCAUCUGUGACAUUUUCUGUAACUUGUUAUUGUCCAGAUCACUGAUAAAGGCAUUAAGGUGUAUAACCAGUGGUGGGUCCCACAGCAUUCCACCCACUCAGCAGUGAUUUCCCUGCACUGUUGUGCUGUAAGGAUCCAGCUUCUGUUCUCGUGCUACUCUGCAUAUGUUGGAUCUGGAGUUGUGGCAUUUUUUUAAUGUUUUAGAAUAUAAAGCAGUUUAGUGGGCUUUUACAGCUAUAUUUAUUAUACUCCUCAAAAUAAAUUUACAAUAAAUCAUUUUUAUACA
ensembl:lncRNA